UAAGGAUCCGGUAUUGCCAUGAGCUGUGGUGUAGGUCACAGAAGCGGCUCGGAUCUGGCAUUGCUGUGGCUGUGGCAGGAGGCUACAGCUCUGAUUAGACCCCUAGACUGGGAACCUCCAUAUGGUGCGGGUGCAGCCCUGAAAAGCAAAAAAUAAAAAGAUAGAGAAUGCACCAUUUAAUGCACUUUUAUUGGGAACUUAAUGUGCAUUCAAUGCCAUGCUAGGGACUGUGAUUAUAGGCAACUUAGAUUUGGCACAAGGCCUCCAAAGGCUUAUAUUGUAGAAAAAUAAUUCAACUAUGUCACUCGGUUGUAAUUACCACCAUCAACAAGGGUGAAUCUAGGGUUCUGUGGGAGGGAGAAGUCCUUGAAUCCUUUAUAAGUCAUGGAACCAGCAAAAGACAGACCACACACUUAGGUGGCUUUGGGGCGGGGUGGGGGGCUGCACCCGUGGCAUAUAGAAGUUCCCAGGCCAGGGAUUGAAUCCAAGCUGCAGCUUUGACCUAUGCCACAGCUGCAGCAAUGCCCAAUCCUUAACCCACUGUGCCACAGUGGGAACGCCCAUAUGUGGGAUUUUUGAAGCAACCAUUUUUGAGGUGUGGGCGGAGUUGGAGUGGCCAACAGGGAUGUUGAGGAAUCUGUGGCCAUCAACCAAGGAAAGCCAACCGCAGCUGGGCCUGAAGGGACAUAGUUGGAAAUGGUUCCUGAACUUGGUGCAAGCUGGACUGAUGAUAGUAGAGCCAUGUUACACCAGCUAUGAUAGAAACGCACAGUGCCAGACCACAGCAGAAUAGGCAAGAGGAAUAAAUAUUCUGAUUUCUCUCUCCUUCUACUCUCUGGUCUGCUGCCCCUGCCUCCUCCUGGCCAGCUCAACCUGGAAACCAGAGACAGGGGUGAUGCCAUCCAAGCCGUUGGUAGAUAUCACUCUCCUAGUCCUCAGAGCAGGUUAAGGAGGGUCAAGGAGAAUAUCCUAAACAAGGUCCAAAAAAGGAGUUACUAUAGGAAUCAUUGAAAUAAUAUUUUCUAAAGCAUUUUUUUGGGGGGGGGGCUGCACUACCUAUAGCAUAUGGAAGUUCCCAGGCCAGGCGUCAAAUUGGAGCUGCAGCUGCCAGCCUAUACCACAGCCACAGGAACUUGGGGUCUGAGCUGCAUCUGAGACCUACACCACAACUCACCACAAUGCCGGAUCCCUAACCCGCUGAGAGAGGCCAGGGAUCGAACCCACAUCCUUAUGGAUACUGGUCGGGUGCUUAAGCUGCUGAGCCAUGACGGGAACUCCAAUAUUUUCUAAAACUUUUAAACUCAGCUACUGAUGGGAUGGGGAGGGAUUUGAAUGCUUAUAGAGGGCUAGAUACUUGAGGCUUCUAUUCUGAGAGGGAGGCCAUGGGCAUAUGGCCAGAAAUUCCCUCCUGGAUUUUUUUAAAAAUAAAGAUCUUAUUUUUUAGAGAAAUUCUGGGUUCACAGAAAAAUGAAAGUACAGAGAUGUCCCAUAUACUCUCUGUCCCCCAUGAUGCACCCCCCCCAUGUGUAGCCUUUUCUACUAUCAACAUCUCCCACCCAGAGUGGCCCAUUUGUUACAACUUAUGAACCUGUUGACAUGUCAUAAUCACACAAAGUCCAUAGUUUACAGUUGGGUUAAUUCUUGGUGUGGUAGAUUCUAUGGGUUUGGACAAAUAUGUGACAUGUACCAUCAUUAUGGUAUCAAAAAUAGUUUCACUGCCCUAAAAAUCCUCUGGGCUCUAACUGCCCAUCCCCAGCCCCCAAGUUCUGGCAAAAACUGAUCUUUUUAGUGCCAUAGUUUUGCCUUUUCCAGGAUGUCAUACAGUUGGAAUUGUACAGAAUGUAGCUUGUUCAGACUGGCUUCUUUCACUUAAUAUGCAUUGAAGUUUCCUCCAUCUUUUCAUGGCUCAAUAGCUCAUUUCUUUUUCAAACUGAAAUAAUAUUUCGCUGUCCAGAGGUACCAUGGUUUAUUAACCCAUCUACCUACUGAAGGAUAUCUUGGUUGCUUCCAUAUUUUGCCCUAGAUUCUUUUUGGGAGCUGGGAGGAUGGAAGCCAAGUGGGGAGAGAAUGGCUGGGAAGAUAAGGAGAGCAGCAUCUUCCAUCCAGUGAGAGACCAGACCAUUAGAGGUAAAUUAUAAGGUGAAAGUUGCAUCAUAAUUUUCUAACAUGGCCUCAGAAGUCAUGCAGCAUCCCUUCUGCCAUAUUCUGUUAGUCAUUCUUUUGAUGGGUUACAAGCCAGUUACAAACCUACUCAGAUGCAAGUGGAGGAGAAUUCAUUCCACUUCCUGAUGGGGAAAGUAAGGAUCUAGAGCAACGCUGAGCAAUACAGAAGCCACUAGCCAACGUGGCUGGUUACAUUUAACUUAACUAAAGUGAGAGCUCUCGCUGUGGCUCAGUAGGUUAGGUAUGGGUUUGAUUCCCAGCCUGGCAAAGUGGGUUAAAGGAUCUGGCACUGCCAUGGCUAUGGUGUAGGUUGCAGCUGUCGUUCUGAUUCAGUCCCUGGCCUGGGAACUUCCAUACACUGUGGGUGCAGCCAUAAAAUCAAACAAACAAAUACAUAAAUAUUAACUAAAAUGAGAAAUUCAAUUCCUUGGUCACACUAGCCACAUGUCAAUUUCUCAAUAAGCCACGUGAGGGCUUAGACCAUUUCCAUGAUGGCAGAAGGUUCUAUUGGACAACACUGAUGAAGAGAACAUGAGACACAGGACAUUUUGUGGCAACCAUCUUUCAGACACACAAUCUGCCAUUGGGUCUCAGCCAAACCAAAUUGUAUUGGGCAAGAUGGACAAGGCACAGGGAAGCAUGUGACGUUGUGUACAAGGGUUGGCAAUCCUUGCUGCUGUUAAUAAUCCCAAAGAGGAGAGGACUUGCCUUGAGAUUCUCAACUGAAAGAGGGUAGAUGCAGAGGCCCACGGGCUAAAAAAUAGGGCCAAUGGGAGGAUAUCACAGGAGGGUGAUUUCUAGACCACUAUUCACUGUCUUUCUUUAAGUAUGCGAUGAAAGCUGCUACCUCAGGUUGCAGUUUACAUGCUAAACUCAGUAAGUUGUAAGGUCUUGGCCAGUUUCCAGUUUCCAUAAAAAGUUCUGCUAAGACCUGAGCAUAGGAAAAAUCUAUGCAUUGGAUAAAGAAGGUAGAAUCUAAAAAGACUUCCUGUAACUGGUAAUAUUUUAUUUUAUUGUUUUGUUUUGUUUUAUUGUUUUAUUUUAUUUUAUCUGCCAUACCUGUGACAUGCAGAAGUUCCUGGGCCAACGAUCGAACCUGUGCCAUGGAAUGGACCCAAGUCACUGCAAUGACAACACCAGAUCCUAAACUGCUAGGACACCAAGGAACUCACAACUAGUGGUAUUUUAGAUGGGCUCAAAGAGUGGGGAUGCUUUAUGAGGGCGCAAGAUUGUCUUUAGGAGUUUGUGUAAAAGAUUUAACAUACUGCAGUUUAAUUACUUGCAGUGAUCUGGUUUCUGACCAACUGGUGGAUGCUUUUCUUCCUAUCCUACCAUCUUUCUCUCUCCACCUGUUUUCUGUCCCUCACCCCUUAGAAGGAGCCACAGUGAAACACUCACCUGGAUGAUGCAGGAGGUCUCUCAGUGCAGUGACAAGGGUCCUUAUAUGAAGGAGACAGAGGGAGAUUUAAGACAGAAGAGACAUGGAUGGAAGCAGAUGGAAGCAGAGUCACAAGAAAAAGACACUCUGCUGCUGGCUUUGAAGACAGAGAAAAGGACCAGGAGCCAAAGAAUGCAGUUCUGGAUGCUGGAAAAGGCAAAGGAAACAGAUUCUCUUCUAGAGCCUCUGGAGGGAGCGUGCCUGGCAACACCUUGAUUUUAGCCCCCAAUGACUCAUUUCAGACUCUGGCUUCUAGAACUAUAAGAGAAUAAAUUUUACUGUUUGUGAU
rnacentral:lncRNA from 1 species